rnacentral:tRNA from 9 species
UCGGGAUAGCUCAGCUGGUA